GUAGGUGGCAAGCGUUGUCCGGAAUUAUUGGGCGUAAAGCGCGCGCAGGCGGUUCUUUAAGUCUGAUGUGAAAACCCACGGCUCAACCGUGGAGGGUCAUUGGAAACUGGAGAACUUGAGUACAGAAGAGGAAAGCGGAAUUCCACGUGUAGCGGUGAAAUGCGUAGAGAUGUGGAGGAACACCAGUGGCGAAGGCGGCUUUCUGGUCUAUAACUGACGCUGAGGCGCGAAAGCGUGGGGAGCAAACAGGGAUUAGAUACCCUGGUAGUCCACGCCGUAAACGAUGAGUGCUAAGUGUUAGGGGGUUUCCCGCCCCUUAGUGCUGCAGCUAACGCAUUAAGCACUCCGCCUGGGGAGUACGGCCGCAAGGCUG
rnacentral:rRNA from 1 species